CCUAAUGUCGUUUCCAGUCAGCUCAGGCUGUCAAAAUUUUUGAGAGCAAGACUGCUUUAGUGUUCUUUCUGGAAAAAAAAAGUUUAAAACAUUUCAGAAUUUCAUAGAAAAAAAGAAGCUCAAAUGGUGCCUGAAUGUGUAAAUGCUAUAGAACAGGGGUCAGCGAACUUUUCUGGAAAAGCCUGGAUAGUCACUAUCUUAGACUUUGCAGACCACAGGGUCUGUCACCACUUCGCAACUCUAUGCAGUAGUAGCGCAAAAGCGGCCACAGAGAAUACGUAAACAAAUGAACCUGGCUGUGUUCUAAUAAAGCUUUUAUUUAUGGGCCUUGACAUUUGAAUUUCAUGUACUUAUCAUGUGUCGCAAAAUAUCCUUUUAAUUUUUUCAACCCUUAGAAACAAUGUUAAGACAUUCUUAGCUUGUGGGCUUCACAAACACAGGAGGUGGGCAGGAUUGAGCCCACAGGCUGUUGUGUACCAACCCCGGCUUUAGAAGACUAAAGUUGACGAGAUGAACUUCUUGUACCAGAGGGAUGCUUGGUUAAUAAGAUGUUUGUACAGCAAUCAAAAAUCAAUGUCAUGCAAAAUCAUGCUUUAGCUAUUUACUCUUAAUUAAAAUGCUUUAGCCAAUUAAUAGUCUAACACUCCUAUAACUAUCAAACUCUGUGGAAAAGAAUACUCUAGCUUGUGAUUCAUGGAGAGACCGCGUUUCCAUUUGCAUACUCUUCAUCACUCUAAGAUAGUGACGAGGAGUGGAACCAAGAGGACCUGGAUUCCGACACCUAACACGUAUCACUCCUUUUCAACUAAGGUACGUUGGGCAAGUUCCUCAACCUCUCAGAGCCUUAGUUUUCCUAGCUUGUCAAAUGCAGCUAUGAAUACCUACUUCCUAAGGACGUUGAGAAGAUUGGAUGAAAUAAUUCAAGUAAAGUGCUUAGCACAGUGUCAGGCACAUGGGACUCUAACAUAUCUCUCCCUGUGCCCUUAAAUUCUUUUUCUGAGAUAAUGUAACUCAAGAGCAGGUGAACAUGUGGAGUGCCAAUAUCUUGUCAGUGUAGAUGGUGCAUCUGAGGACCAUCAGAGUGAUUCAAGGUUGUGGGGUUGAGAUUGUGAUAUAUUUUGAUGGGUCUCUCUCACGCUCUAAGCGUGCCUGUCAUGGGACCCUCGGUCGACACACACUAGCUGUGUGGCCUUAGACAAACACUUCGGUCUUCUGAACCCUGGUGUCUCAUACGUAAAAUAAAGAUAAUACCUUGCAGGGUUUUGGAAAGGGCUAAACAGCAUAAAUGCUAGAGGAAAAAAAGGAAAAGAUAAAAUUAACGUAAGUUAGUGAAAAUCUGAGAAAUAAGCUGAAAAUUGAAAGUGUACCAUCAGAAGCUCCUUUGAGGUAAAUCAUUUAGCUUUCAGACAUGAAUGACAUUUUAACAGCAGGUGCACAAUAACUUAGAAUUCACUCUCCUACCACCUAGUUGACCCCCACUCCAGACCAUUUAAUGGCCAUCAAAAUCCUGUAGAGCAAGGGUAAAACUCAAAUUUUGAAUGUGAUUAAAUAUUGGAGUACAGUUUUUAAUUCUUAUAAAAGUAGUCAGAUCUAUCAUUGUUUUCCUAUAUAUUUCUGCCUUCUGUCCCAGGCUUCAAGAGGUCAUCCAAAGUCCAAGAUUAGAAAAAUACCUACACUUUUCUUCUGGUCAGCUUAAGAACAUCUGAACUCUGGAAACCUGAGCACCCUCCUUCUUCACUGAGGCAAGAGGUAACUACGGCAGGUCAUCGAGGCUUCUUUUCUACUUCUUACUGGGCUGGAAUAAGUGCAAACCCGGUUUGUACCAACGGUGUGCUUAAAUAAGUAGAGGAGACAUAUCAAUGUGAUUUUUAAAGAAUUGUGACAGAAAAUCCCCAGUGACUAGCAGAAGUUGAAUAUACAUUCCUUCUCCCCACUGUCUCGAUGGUUUCUGAUCUCUUAAAAAUCUUCACUUGAACUGUCUUGUAUGUGUGUUUAUGGCAAGCUGAAAUCGUAAUUGGAAAUGAGUCAGGGAUAACUGGUAAAUAAAUAAAUAUUGGUGGGCAAGCAGUCGACUCUCUGGAGAAUACCUUCAAUUUCAUUACUUUGCCAAUCUCCAAGGUCAGUUUAAUCAUAAGCAACUUCAGGUGUGUGUGGGUUUAAUAGAAUUAACUAGAACAGGGCUCCCCAACCUUGGCACUGUUGACGCGUUGGGCCAGAUAAUUUUUGUUGGGGUGGAGGGGGGCGUUGUAGGAUGUUUAGCAGCCUCUCUGGCUUCUACGCACUAGAUACCAGUGGCACCUCCCCACAGUUGUGACAACCAAAAAUCUCUCCGGGCGUUGCCAAAUGUCCCCUGUGUGUGUGUAUGGGGCAGCGGGGAGGAGGGCAGAAUCGCAGCGAGGGCAGUGGGGCAGCAGCUAGAACCACUGAACUAGAC
rnacentral:lncRNA from 1 species